UACGUAUGGAGCAAGCGUUAUCCGGAUUUACUGGGCGUAAAGGGAGCGUAGGCGGCCUGCCAAGUCUGAUGUGAAAUACCGGGGCUCAACCCCGGGGCUGCAUUGGAAACUGGCUGGCUUGAGUUGGGGAAAGGCAGGCGGAAUGCGCGGUGUAGCGGUGAAAUGCAUAGAUAUCGCGCAGAACCCCGAUUGCGAAGGCAGCCUGCCGGCCCCACACUGACGCUGAGGCACGAAAGCGUGGGUAUCGAACAGG
rnacentral:rRNA from 1 species